GUGUAAGAAGCGAAUGAUAUUGCGUUUGACUUCGGAUCAAAAUUUGGGGGUGUAAGUCCCUCCUUAUACU
rnacentral:tRNA from 1 species